CGCGUCCCCUUUCCUCCUCCGCCGCUGCCGUCGCCGCCACCCUCUGAUAUCCCUUCUCUUUAUUGUUUCUUCCUUUUCUCAUCUCUGACCUACUCUCUAGCUUGAAUCCACGCCGAUAGCAACCAUCUACCGCCUGCCACCUAAACCAGAAACCCUAGAUCGCGACCGUCUAACGACGGUGCGGCGACCCUCCUCCGUUUUACUCCUAUUGCUCCCCCUUUUCCCCUGUUCCGCUUUCUCAUUCCAUUUCAAGCACGCCUGAAGUUUGACACUUUUGAGUAGUUUGAUUGCGACCAGUCUUGCAGAUGUCGCGGGAUAAGGAUUAUUCUACGUUUUCAAGGAAGAGGAGAGGAAAGGACUUGAAAAAAUGACUAGUCUUUCGUGGAAUGGAAGGAUUCGGCAAAACAAUUCUGGGGGUUACAUAAACAAUGGUAUACUCCCAAUAACAACAAUCAGGCGAAAGUGGAUUGCAACUACUUUGCCUUUUGUUAUACUAGUUUCUUUGACUAGAUCCAUAACGUACUUUUCCUGCCUCAUGACGAGCGACUUUAAUUUCAAAAGAAAUAUUUUAAUUUUGAUAAAAUAAUUCAUUAUAAUUCGUUGGCUAGCGGCCGCAUCAAGGUCUUAUUUUCAACUGCAUCAUUUUACGUCACUAUAGUGUCAUUCAUGUAUACAAUAAAAAAAAAAAAAAAAUUCCCCUCGAGUUGAACUUGUUUCAUGCCGUCCGAGAUGAGGGCUUAAGUGAAGAAAUUUCGAAAAUUUCCGUUGCGGCUUGAAUGCUCUUGUGUUUGUGAUCUUAUCUCUUGAGGUUAAGACUUCUACUUCGGAUUGAGCAAAAACACACAAGAGUGGGACGCGAAUCGAAUAACCGAUCAAGAAAGAGAUAAAAGUAGGGACUUAUCAAUAUAGUUUCUGCUUCGACAAUCUAUGAUAGGUUUUAUUUUCAUGGAAAGGGAUGUACUUUGAGGAGAUAAAAGACUUUAUUGCAUCUGUACUUCUGCCGAAUGUUGGCGCCUCUUUGCUGCUGCAGCUUGUCUCGGGAUGCACAUAGAGCAGAAUAUUUAACGUAAUGUCGAUCGAGCAAUGAAACACGUUUUCAAUGGAGAAAAUCGGAACCAAGAAAAUUGCACAAGAGCAGACAGGCCCUUCUUCGGUAAUCCAGAUAAAAAGGUACUUUUUAAGGAAUUAAAAAGUAAUGUAGAGGUGCUGAAUCUUCAAGGAGAAUCAACAAGGAUGGCGACGUGGAUCCUAGUUGGAUGGUUUUCAACCGCUGUCGACUCUAAACCCAUCCACCUCAACUAUUACCAAACAAUGACUCAGAUUUGGCAACUGGACUGAUCUGAAACCGAAACCGAAACCUCUCGUAGAUAGAAGUGGACUGAACCAACACCAUGUACGGCAGUUGGAUACUUAUUUAGAAAGAGGAAUAAAUUAUUUGUCCUAUAUUUUAUUUGAUUAAUAUAUUAUUUUAUUUGAAUAAAUAAAUAAAUAAUCAAAUAAAUAGUUUGUGAUUAAAUACAAAAUAAAUUGAAAAAUAUAAUAUAUAUCAUAUUUUCCUCUCCUUUCUAACGGAGGACGAAAUAUCAAU